rnacentral:rRNA from 1 species
UGGGGAAUAUUGCACAAUGGGCGCAAGCCUGAUGCAGCCAUGCCGCGUGUAUGAAGAAGGCCUUCGGGUUGUAAAGUACUUUCAGUCGGGAGGAAGGUGGUAAGGUUAAUAACCUUAUCAAUUGACGUUACCGACAGAAGAAGCACCGGCUAACUCCGUGCCAGCAGCCGCGGUAAUACGGAGGGUGCAAGCGUUAAUCGGAAUUACUGGGCGUAAAGCGCACGCAGGCGGUUGAUUGAGUCAGAUGUGAAAUCCCCGGGCUUAACCCGGGAAUUGCAUCUGAUACUGGUCAGCUAGAGUCUUGGAGAGGGGGGUAGAAUUCCAUGUGUAGCGGUGAAAUGCGUAGAGAUGUGGAGGAAUACCGGUGGCGAAGGCGGCCCCCUGGACAAAGACUGAAGCUCAGGUGCGAAAGCGUGGGGAGCAAACAGG